AGAAUCAACGCUGGCGGCGUGCCUAACACAUGCAAGUCGAACGAGAAAGUGGGAGCAAUCCCACGAGUAAAGUGGCGCACGGGUGAGUAACACGUGACUAACCUACCCUUGAGUGGGGGAUAACCUAGGGAAACCUGGGCUAAUACCGCAUAAUACCUACGGGUCAAAGGAGCAAUUCGCUUAAGGAGGGGUCGCGGCCGAUUAGUUAGUUGGCGGGGUAAUGGCCCACCAAGACUGUGAUCGGUAUCC
rnacentral:rRNA from 1 species